rnacentral:rRNA from 1 species
ACCGGAUGAAAGCAGUGAGGCUGGUGUGUAGUGAAGUACGCACACUAAGGCUGGGCUGUGAGAGCUACGAAGACUAGUAGGAAGCUCGCUGAAUUCACGCUGACAAGAAAAGCUGCUAUGGAAUCUGCAGGCGCCCGUACCGCAAACCGACACAGGUGGGCGAGGAGAGAAUCCUAAGACGAACGGGAGAACCCUUGUUAAGGAACUCGGCAAAAUGACCCUGUAACUUCGGGAUAAAGGGAGCCCCGCAAGGGGCCGCAGAGAAUAGGCACAAGCGACUGUUUAGCAAAAACACGGGUCUGUGCGAAGUAGAGAUACGACGUAUACGGGCUGACUCCUGCCCAGUGCCGGAAGGUUAAGGGGAAGUGUUAGGGCAACCGAAGCACGGAACUUAAGCCCCGGUGAACGGCGGCCGUAACAAUAACGGUCCUAAGGUAGCGAAAUUCCUUGUCGGGUAAGUUCCGACCCGCACGAAUGGAGUAACGACUUGUGCACUGUCUCAACAAGGGACCCGGCGAAAUUGUAGUAUGUGUGAAGAUGCACAUUACCCGCGAUAGGACGGAAAGACCCCGUAGAGCUUUACUGUAGUUUGGCAUUGGAUUUUGGUAACGGAUGUACAGCAUAGGUGUGAGGCGAUGAAACCAGGACGCCAGUUCUGGCGGAGCCGACGUUGGGAUACCACUCUUUUGUUACUGGGGUUCUAACGGAUGGCCGUAAACCGGCAUCCGAACAGUGCCAGAUGGGCAGUUUGACUGGGGCGGUCGCCUCCGAAAGAGUAACGGAGGCGUUCAAAGGUUCCCUCAGAAUGGUUGGAAACCAUUCGAAGAGUGCAAAGGCAGAAGGGAGCCUGACUGCAAGACGGACACGUCGAGCAGGGAGGAAACUCGGACUUAGUGAUCCGGCGGUAUGAGAGUGGAAUUGCCGUCGCUCAACGGAUAAAAGCUACCUCGGAUAACAGGCUGAUCUCCCCCAAGAGUUCACAUCGACGGGGAGGUUUGGCACCUCGAUGUCGGCUCGUCGCAUCCUGGGGCUGGAGCGGGUCCCAAGGGUUUGGCUGUUCGCCAAUUAAAGCGGCACGCGAGCUGGGUUCAGAACGUCGUGAGACAGUUCGGUCCCUAUCCAUCGUGGGCGCAGGAGAUUUGAAGGGUGCUGUCCCUAGUACGAGAGGACCAGGAUGGACGCACCAAGGGUGUAUCAGUUGUCGUGCCAACGGCACAGCUGGGUAGCCAUGUGCGGAGCGGAUAAACGCUGAAGGCAUCUAAGCGUGAAACCGACCCUAAGAUAAGAUCUCCCACUCGCAAGAGGUAAGACCCCUGGAAGACUACCAGGUUGAUAGGUCGGAGGUGGAAGCGCAGCAAUGUGCGCAGCUGACCGAUACUAAUAGGUCGAGGGCUUGUU